rnacentral:rRNA from 1 species
CGAACGCUGGCGGCGUGCCUAAUACAUGCAAGUCGAGCGAAGAGAUGGGAGCUUGCUCCCUGAUCUUAGCGGCGGACGGGUGAGUAACACGUGGGCAACCUGCCCUGCAGACUGGGAUAACUCCGGGAAACCGGAGCUAAUACCGGGUAAUACAUCGCACCGCAUGGUGCAAUGUUGAAAGUUGGCUUUCUGAGCUAACACUGCAGGAUGGGCCCGCGGCGCAUUAGCUAGUUGGUAAGGUAAUGGCUUACCAAGGCGACGAUGCGUAGCCGACCUGAGAGGGUGAUCGGCCACACUGGGACUGAGACACGGCCCAGACUCUACGGGAGGCAGCAGUAGGGAAUCUUCCGCAAUGGACGAAAGUCUGACGGAGCAACGCCGCGUGAGUGACGAAGGCUUCGGGUCGUAAAGCUCUGUUGUUAGGGAAGAACAAGUACCGUUCGAAUAGGGCGGUACCUUGACGGUACCUAACCAGAAAGCCACGGCUAACUACGUGCCAGCAGCCGCGGUAAUACGUAGGUGGCAAGCGUUGUCCGGAAUUAUUGGGCGUAAAGCGCGCGCAGGCGGUCUUUUAAGUCUGAUGUGAAAAGCCCACGGCUCAACCGUGGAGGGUCAUUGGAAACUGGAGGACUUGAGUGCAGAAGAGGAGAGUGGAAUUCCACGUGUAGCGGUGAAAUGCGUAGAUAUGUGGAGGAACACCAGUGGCGAAGGCGGCUCUCUGGUCUGUAACUGAGCCUGAGGCGCGAAAGCGUGGGGAGCAAACAGGAUUAGAUACCCUGGUAGUCCACGCCGUAAACGAUGAGUGCUAGGUGUUGGGGGGUUCCACCCUCAGUGCUGAAGUUAACACAUUAAGCACUCCGCCUGGGGAGUACGACCGCAAGGUUGAAACUCAAAGGAAUUGACGGGGGCCCGCACAAAGCAGUGGAGCAUGUGGUUUAAUUCGAAGCAACGCGAAGAUCCUUACCAGGUCUUGAGCAUCCUCUUGACAAUCCUGGAGACAGGACGGGUUCUUCGGGCGGCAGAGUGACAGGUGGUGCAUGGUUGUCGUCAGCUCGUGUCGUGAGAUGUUGGGUUAAGUCCCGCAACGAGCGCACCCUUGAUCUUAGUUGGCCAGCAUUAGUUGGGNUCUCUAAGGUGACUGCC